ACGGGAGGCAGCAGUGGGGAAUAUUGGGCAAUGGGCGAAAGCCUGACCUAGCAACGCCGCGUGAAGGAAGAAGGCCUUCGGGUUGUAAACUUCUUUUGUCAAGGACGAAGGACGUGACGGUACCUGACGAAUAAGCAACGGCUAACUACGUGCCAGCAGCCGCGGUAAUACGUAGGUUGCAAGCGUUGUCCGGAUUUACUGGGUGUAAAGGGCGUGUAGGCGGAUUUGCAAGUCAGAUGUGAAAUCCCGGGGCUCAACCCCGGAACUGCAUUUGAAACUGUAGACCUUGAGUAUCGGAGAGGCAAGCGGAAUUCCUAGUGUAGCGGUGAAAUGCGUAGAUAUUAGGAGGAACACCAGUGGCGAAGGCGGCUUGCUGGACGACAACUGACGCUGAGGCGCGAAAGCGUGGGGAGCAAGCAGGAUUAGAUACCCUGGUA
rnacentral:rRNA from 1 species